rnacentral:rRNA from 1 species
AGAGUUUGAUCCUGGCUCAGGACGAACGCUGGCGGCGUGCCUAAUACAUGCAAGUCGAGCGAGCUUGCCUAGAUGAUUUUAGUGCUUGCACUAAAUGAAACUAGAUACAAGCGAGCGGCGGACGGGUGAGUAACACGUGGGUAACCUGCCCAAGAGACUGGGAUAACACCUGGAAACAGAUGCUAAUACCGGAUAACAACACUAGACGCAUGUCUAGAGUUUGAAAGAUGGUUCUGCUAUCACUCUUGGAUGGACCUGCGGUGCAUUAGCUAGUUGGUAAGGUAACGGCUUACCAAGGCAAUGAUGCAUAGCCGAGUUGAGAGACUGAUCGGCCACAUUGGGACUGAGACACGGCCCAAACUCCUACGGGAGGCAGCAGUAGGGAAUCUUCCACAAUGGACGAAAGUCUGAUGGAGCAACGCCGCGUGAGUGAAGAAGGGUUUCGGCUCGUAAAGCUCUGUUGGUAGUGAAGAAAGAUAGAGGUAGUAACUGGCCUUUAUUUGACGGUAAUUACUUAGAAAGUCACGGCUAACUACGUGCCAGCAGCCGCGGUAAUACGUAGGUGGCAAGCGUUGUCCGGAUUUAUUGGGCGUAAAGCGAGUGCAGGCGGUUCAAUAAGUCUGAUGUGAAAGCCUUCGGCUCAACCGGAGAAUUGCAUCAGAAACUGUUGAACUUGAGUGCAGAAGAGGAGAGUGGAACUCCAUGUGUAGCGGUGGAAUGCGUAGAUAUAUGGAAGAACACCAGUGGCGAAGGCGGCUCUCUGGUCUGCAACUGACGCUGAGGCUCGAAAGCAUGGGUAGCGAACAGGAUUAGAUACCCUGGUAGUCCAUGCCGUAAACGAUGAGUGCUAAGUGUUGGGAGGUUUCCGCCUCUCAGUGCUGCAGCUAACGCAUUAAGCACUCCGCCUGGGGAGUA